GCCGUGUGUCCUCUCCACGGUCGUAAGUGCAGAAGGUAAUUAAACAGGAUCUUAAACUUGCAGUCAGACAACUGAAUCAUUAGAAAGCAACCACAGAGAAAACUCACACCAACAGUGACACUCCGGAGACAAAUCAAAAACGCAAAGUAUAUUUUGCAGGAAGGGUUACAGUUCUUGAAGUCUGGAAAUAGUUGU
rfam:Tursiops truncatus cont1.307491, whole genome shotgun sequence.